UACGAAGGGGGCUAGCGUUGCUCGGAAUCACUGGGCGUAAAGCGCACGUAGGCGGCUUUUUAAGUCAGGGGUGAAAUCCUGGAGCUCAACUCCAGAACUGCCUUUGAUACUGAGAGCUUGAGUCCGGGAGAGGUGAGUGGAACUGCGAGUGUAGAGGUGAAAUUCGUAGAUAUUCGCAAGAACACCAGUGGCGAAGGCGGCUCACUGGCCCGGUACUGACGCUGAGGUGCGGAAAGCGUGGGGAGCAAACAGGG
rnacentral:rRNA from 1 species